GACGAACGCUGGCGGCGUGCUUAACACAUGCAAGUCGAACGGAAAGGCCCUGCUUUUGUGGGGUUCUCGAGUGGCGAACGGGUGAGUAACACGUGAGUAACCUGCCCUUGACUUUGGGAUAACUUCAGGAAACUGGGGUUAAUACCGGAUAGGAUCUCCUGCUGCAUGGUGGGGGUUGGAACGUUUCGGCGGUUGGGGAUGGACUCGCGGCUUAUCAGCUUGUUGGUGGGGUAGUGGCUUACCAAGGCUUUGACGGGUAGCCGGCCUGAGAGGGUGACCGGCCACAUUGGGACUGAGAUACGGCCCAGACUCCUACGGGAGGCAGCAGUGGGGAAUAUUGCACAAUGGGCGGAAGCCUGAUGCAGCAACGCCGCGUGCGGGAUGACGGCCUUCGGGUUGUAAACCGCUUUCGCCUGUGACGAAGCGUGAGUGACGGUAAUGGGUAAAGAAGCACCGGCUAACUACGUG
rnacentral:rRNA from 1 species